rnacentral:tRNA from 1 species
GGCUCAGUGGUCUAGGGGUAUGAUUCCUGCUUUGGGUGCAGUAGGUCCCGGGUUCAAAUCCCGGCUGAGCCC